UACGAAGGGGGCUAGCGUUGUUCGGAAUUACUGGGCGUAAAGCGCGCGCAGGCGGUUUUUCAAGUCAGUGGUGAAAGCCCGGAGCUCAACUCCCGAGCCUGCUUCCGAUACGGGCAGACUAGAGGUAGGCAGGGGAGAGCGGAACUCCUGGUGUAGCGGUGGAAUGCGCAGAUAUCAGGAAGAACACCGGUGGCGAAGGCGGCUCUCUGGGCCUUACCUGACGCUGAGGAGCGAAAGCGUGGGGAGCAAACAGGA
rnacentral:rRNA from 1 species